rnacentral:tRNA from 3 species
GCGCCCGUGGCCAAGUGGAUAAGGCACAGGUUUCCUAAACCUGCAUUCGGACGUUCGAAUCGUCUCGGGCGUACCA